rnacentral:rRNA from 1 species
UACCGGCAGCUCAAGUGGUAGCCGCGAUUAUUGGGCCUAAAACGUUCGUAGCCGGAUAAGUAAGUCUUUGGUUAAAUCCUGCGACUCAACCGUGGGAAUUCUAGAGAUACUGCUUGUCUUGAGACCGGGAGAGGUUGGAGGUACUCCUAGGGUAGGGGUGAAAUCCUGUAAUCCUAGGGGGACCACCUGUGGCGAAGGCGUCCAACUGGAACGGGUCUGACGGUGAGGGACGAAACCUAGGGGAGCGAGCCGGAUUAGAUACCCGGGUAGUCCUAGGCGUAAAUGAUGCGAGUUAAGUGUGGGGGCAUCUACGAGAUGGCCCUGUGCUGUAGGGUAGCCGUUAAACUCGCUGCCUGGGGAGUACGGUCGCAAGGCUGAAACUUAAAGGAAUUGGCGGGGGAGCACCACAAGAGGUGGAGGCUGCGGUUCAAUUGGAUUCAACGCCGGA